UGCCAGCACUCAGGGAGGCAGAGGCAGGUGAAGCUCUGUGAGUUCAAGGUCAGCCUGGUCUACAGAGUGAGUUCCAGGACAGCCAGGGCUACACACAGUGAAACCUUGUCUCAAAAAAACCAAACCAAACCAAACCAAGCCAACCAACCAAACAAACAAACAAAAACCCACAAAUAACAACAAAAACAUGGCGGCCUCAGGAGGAUGCCGGGGGACAGACAGAGAGGGUGGAGAGGGUGGAUUGCUUUUUGCAUUCCAAGGUCAGGCCAGGACCAGAGGCCCCUCAUCUUAGGUCAUGGAACCUUUCAGAAACAGUGGCUGCUUCAGUGUAGCGCUACACGCCUUGGCGCUACACUGCGGUUGGUCUCACACUAAUUCAGAGGCAUGAGCUCCAGGCUCAGCCAGAAGGACAGGUGGGGGUAGGGCGACCAUACGCCUUAGACCUCAAGGGGUGGUGGACCCAGCGGGGUAGAGCAUAUGGACAGGCUCACCCAAUCCAAGCCCUGGAAACAUCAGGCUGCUUCCUCUCAGCCAAUAACAAUGUACAGCACGGAGCUAUCUGUGUUCAGCCAAUCGUGAGGUAGGUCUCCCCUCAUUACUCAACACCUGUCCAAUCAACUGUGCCGUGGCUUCUACGUCACCAAGGUCUGGGUAGGUGGCCUGGCCACGGUCGCUAGGCAGAGCAGUCGCGGCCGCAGCAGCACAGCACGUUUUUCCUGAGGGUGCUUCUCUACAGUCUGUGGUGGUUCUGUUUGGUCCAGUCAGAUCCGGUGUGGUCUGCCUCAUUUUGGAUUACUUCAGUGUGCUUCUCCUCCGUGUGGUUCCGGUCCAGUCAGCCUCUGUGGGCUUUGCUCAGAGUGAUCCUCCGCAAUGUGGUUCUUCUCAGCGUGGUUUUGCUCAGCGCGUUCGUCCUCAGCACGGUUCUCCACGGUGAGGUCGUAUCAGUCAUCAGCCUCCGCGUGGUUAUCCUCGACCCGGUUGGAUGUGCCUCAGCUCGGAUUACUCAGAGCGCGGUUCGCCUCAGUCCUGACCAGCCCUCCUCGGUGUGCUUUGCUCAACGUGGUCCCCUUUACUGUUUCUCCUGUGCACAGACCUCCGCGGCGAGGUCUUAUCUGUUUCAGCAUGGUGGUCCUCGGUACGGUCCGAUCUGCCUCAGCUCGGGUCGCUUAAGCGCGGAUGGCUCUGAGUCACCUGAAAAGCGUGUGGAGAUGAGCCCUGAAGGAAGAGCAAUGGAGAACAGGCCCUUCAAACCCAGGUCCACCAAGAUGUGAACAAGCAGCCUCAGGCUCCCACUGCCACAGCCUCAAGGCCUCCUGCAGCCACACCUUCCCUAUCAUGACAGAUUAUAUCCCCUCAAACAACAAGCCGCCACAAACUCUUCCUCCUCUGUGGUGCCACUUCUCAGGACUGAAGAAUAGAGAUGCUUCCAGGGACCAGAAGGGAAGACUUGGUUGUCCACACAGCCUUGCCACCACCUCAGCACUGUCUCCAUCAUCCUGGGUCUGCUGAACAACUGCCCAGCAGCCACUCCAUGAGUCAGAACCAAUACAGUCAGCUCCUGCAUUUGAAAAGGCCUGCCCAACUGACCAUCAGGAGCAGAUGCAAGCUCCACUUACGAUCAACUCCCUGAGGUCCUAGCAAAAGCCACAGAAAGUUCUUGGGAACUGAGCAAGCCAAGACUGUGAGAGGCUGGGGACAAGAACCAGGGAGGUGGGUAGUGUCUCUCAAAUCCCUCUGUUAGUCACAGCCAAAAUCUCCAAGCAGCCUGACAGAGUAGAACAUCUGCCCUUGACCCUGGCCAAGGCCCAGCAGCAAGGCAGCUAAACCCCUGUGACCUCAACUAGGAAGGGAGCUCCUCUCUAUGGGGACACAAAGGGCCACAGGAAAGGAUUAGGGUGAGGAGGUGGGAACCCAAACAGCAAAGGGCAGUGCCAGGGGGCCAUGUCCUGACCCUGGCAGCCAGAGAAGGCCAGCACAGACACAGGAAGAGCUGCUCUACUUGGGCCAAGGCAGGGGUCCCCCAAGGAGGGGCCAGGAUGUCCGGGCCUGUUUCCCCAUACGCAUGUGGGAAAGCAUACCCCAGAGCCUGCAGGACACUGGCUCUCACUCCUACUCUUCCCCCCACACCCACACAUUCACUCCCUGCUUUUCAAGAGCAGGGCAGUCCUUCCAGCCACAACAUCAUCACCUGAUACAUUCUAGAGUCCGUCUUACCAAAAGCAGAGUUUGCUGUCUGCCAGCUGCAUUUGCUACUUAGAGCCACACACCAGGGGCAACCAGCAUCACUAUGCAUUUCAUAAAGAUGUGGCUAGGCUCCUAGCUGCUGGCCAUGUCUCCUCUCAGGAGACUGCAUGACCCAGAGGGUCCUGCCUACCUCCUGAUGGUGAUGGAAAUGAGGCUCCUUUUCCCCAGAGUCUGGGCAAGUCAUUUGCUGUGCCCAGGAGGGUCUUCCCAGCUUACUUACUCCUUCCCCUUUGUAACUAAACUCCACAGUCAGCCAGUGCUAGGGCUGGGGAAGGUUGAUCAACUGCCACUAAGCAGCCAGAAUCUCACUCCCUCUUCUUGACAACGAAGCCCUUGGGCCACCAAUCUAGAAAGUCACCAGAGCCCUGUGGCUCCUGGCUGCUGGGGAAGCUGGGCAAAGGCAGCUCUGCUGAGCAAACUUCCCGAGGGCUGAACAAUCCAAUUCAGGAAGAAAGCACAGUGUAAGCACAGACUUCCUCUGGGGCGGGACAAGCCCUCUUCCUCCACCAGGGCCAGGCUACCACAGUCAGGAACUUAACGAUGCUCAUUCUAACGACCUGCAUCCCCAGGAGGAUACCAUGCAAGUGUCUGAAGGCUGCUCACCUUGGCAAAUGGAGCUCCUGGACAAAGAGGUUGAACAAGAAAGAGACCCUGCCUCAAAAGAACAAGGCGAAGAGUGAUACAGCAGGACACCAGAGGCCCUCUGCUGCCCUCUGCGCAUGCUCACAGGUGCAUGCAUCUGCACACACAUGUGAAUGCACACCACACACACCACACACACACAAUACAGUAUCCUUCAGUCUGUUGAAUUAUAUACUCUAACACAGUCACACAAAUUGAACCAUCAGUAAUAAUAUUGGCAGGGACCCACUCCAGAUGCCCCCAGGCUAAAAUACUCAGUGCUCAAGUCCUUCACAUAAAACAGUAUAGUCUGUUCUUAGAACCUACUACACCCUCCAGCAUAGCUCAAACCAUCUCUAGAUUCCUCAAAAUACCUAGCACAAUGGGAAUGCCAGCUCAAGUACUGCUGCAUUAUACUGUUGGGGAAAGAAUAAGAGUCUGCACUAGUCCAUUCCAGAUGUAAUUUGUUUUUCAAAUAUCUUCCACCUGGUGUGGGUUGCAGAACCUAGAGAUAUGGAGUGCUGACUGUCUGAACAAAUCAAACAUAUAUGUUUACAUAUCAAAUAAGCAAUCCUUUUGAGUUCCUUAGGAACCAAGAUAUAAAAGAUACAGACGUAAAAUCAAAGAAGUACAAACAAAUCUUUAAAUGUGAGUUUGAAAUAGUACCAUAAUCUCCUUCCUCCGUUAUUUUCUCUCAAAACUACUUUAUAGUUAUAUCCACUGAAACUUUGGAAGGAGCAGGCCGAGGAGGUGGCUUGGUCAGUAAAAUGCUUGCUGUGCAAGCCGGAGGACUUGAGUUCAAUCCCCAGAACCCACAUAAAAAUGUGGGGCAUAAACUUGGCAUGGUAGCUCAUGCCUAUAAUCCCAGCACUCAGGAUGCAUAGGCAGGCAGAUCCCUGUGAGUUCAAGGCCAGCCUCGUCUACACAGUGAGUUCCAGGACAGCCAGGGCUAUGUAGAGACCCUGUCUCAAAAAUCAAGGUGGACUGCCCCUGAGGAACAACACCAGAAAUUUGUCUUCUGGCCUCCACACAUGUAUACCCAUUCACACAAACAUACCCUUGUGCACAUACAUGUACACCCCACACACAAAUGUAUACCCAUACUUGUGCACACACACACACACACACACACACACACACACACACACACACACACACCACACACACACACACACACACACAUUUUUGGAAGGGUCUGAGUAAUAACAGAAGAAUUCAAACAGCACAAACAAUUAUGGAAGCCUCGAAUAGAGACUCACAUCUGUAAUCCCUGAAUCCAGGAAGCUGAAGCAGGAGGAUUUCCAUGAGUUCAAGGUCAGCCUGGUCUACAGAGUGAGCUCCUAUCUCCAAAAACAAACAAAAAUACAGAUUAAAGCAUGCCAAAUAUCCUAAAACCCAAUUUGUUCAUAAUGAGACUUGGAAAGUCCUCAUUGUCCUUGGACAGUUGCUUGGCUCAUUGUUCUGAAAACUAGAGGGGAGGGUGGGGUAGAAUAUGGCCUGCCUUGCCUUCUCUGUACCAACUUCAGGGUGCGAGGAGGCCAUGCCUGCCAGAGGUACACACGGAAGAAUGUGUGGCUAGGAGUAUGUGACGCAGGGAAACUGCUUUGCAGCGAUCAACAGGAAGAGGAUAGGGAGUCAGGUGCAGAUUAAACCAGACUGCCUCUGAAUUGGGGAUUGUUGAAGCUACACUGAAUGCACGCAUUAUACUGAGCUCUUUAUUUUCAUGCACAUUUCCAUAUUUUUCAAUUAUACUAAUAGCUGCCCAGGUCUGCCCUAGACGGAGAAAGGGAAGAAUGCUCUCUUAGGACCUUCGAGAUGGCUCAGUGGGUAAAGGUGCUUGCCACUGAGUCUGACAGUCUGAGUUGGAUCCCUGUGAUUCACAUGGAAGGAGAGAACAGAGACACCCCCCACACAAACACACACACUUAUCCUCUGACCUCCAACACACAUUUGCACUUUGUUUUUGCAUUUGCACACACAACAAGUAAAGGUUUUGUUUUUAUUUAAGGGUCUUGGGGAUGCCUGUCCUGCCUUGAACAAGGAAUCUGUUCUGGAGGACACCAAGGCAGAAGCGAGGCUUUAAAGGGGCUGCUAUGAGGUCCGUGCCCUCUCCAAAAAGCUGGCCAGAGAAUAGGGGGCGGUGGCUGAGCAGAGUGGGAACCAAGGAUGAUGGACUCCAGGUGUACCGGUGAGCACAGAGCUAAGAUGGGCUGGGCUCAGGGUGAGGCUAAAGCUAAGAAAGUAAAGGCCGGUGGCCCCAGAUCAGGAAACACAAAAGGCCCUGACUAUGGGUGGUAGUAGGGUGGGAUCAAGUCUGUGGCUACUGUGGAGGUGGGUGAGCACCCCUGAGGGGCCCAUCAGCCAAGAAGAGAAAAAUCUCCUGAGGUAGAGAAUGAGCAGAUUGCUUAGGCCAUGGAGGUCUGAGCCUCUGGACAUGGGACUCCGGGACGCCACCUGCUCUCUGCAGAAUUCUUCCUUUAUCAAGGAAGCACCUUCCACUCCCACAGUCAUCGAGGGGGCACACACACCCCACCAGGGUGCAUCCUGGGAGAGCCCCUUCUCACUACCUAUCUCCAAGCCUUGAGAUGUUAUGGAAACCCGGUGCCCACCAUUCUACUUGCUGACUUUCUAAGGACUUUCUGCCAAUCCAUCUGCAUCCUGUCACCCACUCAUUCCUUGUUCAUCUGGUGAGGUCAGAGGGCAACAACAGGAGGUGCCUCGGAGGCUGUCAUGAGGUUAGGAAAACUAGGGCUGAUGUCUUCUGUGAGGACCAGAGUCUAUCAGCCAAGGGCUGUUGGGACAGUCAGACUUCCAAAGACUUCCCAGAUGUUAUCUUUCUUCAGAUUCAUUUCCCAUCCAUUCAUCCCCAAAGUCUUGCAUGCACUGCCAUGGAGCCAUCAUGUAGGGGUGAGUAAAAUAAUGAGCAGACUUGGCACAACCUAGAAUUAUCUGAUGUACAAAGCCUUAAUUGACCAAUUACCUUGACCAGAUGGGCCUAGCAGCAUGUCUGUGGGGGAUUCUCUUGAUGGUUGAUUGAUAUAGAAAGACCUAGCUCAUGACGAUGGCACCAUUCCCUCAGCAGGUGAUCCUGGGCUAUGUAUGAGCCUGUGACUGAGCCAGCUAGUUGUGUUCCUCCAUGGUUUCUGCCUCAAAUACCUGCUUGAGUUCCCCCAACAGUGAACUGUGACUUGGUAGGUGAAAUAAAGCCUCUCCUCCCCUAAGUUGGUUCUGUUCAGGGUGUUGUAUCACAAAAACAUAAAUCGAACUAGAACACUCACUGAGGGCUCAAGGUGUCCCCACAGGGACUCUUCACUUAGGGGAAAAAUUGCUGUUGAAGUUCUCUGCAUUCAGUAGACACUCAAUGCUAAAUGGAUGGAUGGCCAAGGGAAAGGCAUAAGGAACAGGUGCUUACCACUGUGAGCCACUGGUAUCUCUCUGUGGGUCCUCCUGGCUGGGGACUAUCCUUGUGGAUGGGACACCCAGCAGUGGGGUUGAACUUCCAUCUGUCCUGAACCUUACAGGCAGCUCCUGGGGUGUCCUCUCCUCAUCUGAGCACAUAAAGAUCCAUCAUGUCAAUCAGCUUGCUCUCAGGCCUGGGAAGGGGGACCUAGGACCUUCUCUAGGCAAGCACUGAGGUGGUGCUACUGGGCAGGACCCAGCACUAUUCCCUCCCAUGAAGGGACUCAGGGGUCACAGUAGGACAAAGGCAAGAUUGGACUUGUCCAGAGUCCUCCAGGCCUGAUGUCUUGUCCUCCCACUCACACUGUUUCUGAAGUCAUUUCACUGGGCGUACCAAGGACCCACUGUGCUUUGCCUUGUGGGCGAAGGCUGGACAGACAAUCCAAGCACACAUUCAUGGAGAAAGUUGCCCCAUGAGCUGGUCUUUACGCAUAUGUAGAGUCAAAAAAUGGGGUCUCCCUGGGUGUUCCUCUCUCUCAUGGAGCCCUGAGAAUUGGUCUAGGCCUCACUGAGACCAGGAGAGUGCAGGAGCAUGAGGGCAGAGUGGUAGGAGCUGGCUUGCUGUCAUUCUACCACCCCUUACUCACAGGCCACACCCACCCACACUCGCCUCUUCCAAGAUGCCAAACUGGGAACCAGCUGGGAAUACUGAGGGUUAUGUGUAAGUGUGCAGUGCCCAUGUGUGUUGGACACACAUAAAUAACCUUUUGUGACGGCUGCAAGGACAGGCUCCUAAGAGCACAGUAGGAAGGGUGUGCUCAGAGGGGAGCAGCCCAAUAAGGAGGUAGGAACCACCCCACAGGGCCACAGCUAUACCCAAUUUAUAUGAGAGUCACUUGGUGAGCAGACUUUCUCGGCAAACUGCACCCCCUCAUUCCCUCACCAGCACCAAGUCAGUGGCGAGGUACCAGAGACUUACCAUAGUGCUUACCUUUAGAUGAGCCUUCUGGUAAAGCUGCCUGAGGUCUCCAGACACCCACCUAUACCUCUGAGGCCCAGCCUAGCCAUGGAAAGCCCUUCUAUACAUUGUUCUGGAGUCAGCACUGAUCUUCCAAACCCAAGGAAAGAUCUUUAAAAAUUUGAGGACUGUCGGCACAUGCCUUAUGCUGGGAGAGUCAGUUUUAGCAAAUACUGAAGGGUCCCCUUUCAGGGAGUUGCCCCCAUCUACCUCAGAAUCCACUCCUCUCCUUCUAAGUGGGUGUCAUGGAGAACAGUCCCAGGGCCUCAAAGGUCUCAGACCUUCCUCAGAAGUCUGUGGUAGUAGCCUGUUCAAAAACACAGCCCACCACACUCAGGAUCCCUUGACUGGUGGCCUCCCAGAUACCUCUAGCCCAACAGUGCUCCAUCCUGGGCAUCUGUUAAGCCAUCAAGCUUUGACUGAUAGAAAUAUGUUGGAUAUCCCUAGGCAAAUUCAAUGCCAUGGUGGGCAGUCCCAGCCAAAACUUUUGUCCUCAUUGGUGAUACAAACUGGACAAACAGCUGGAAGGGCUCACCAUGGGAAGCCACCAUGGCCCCACACAAGGGCGGAGCCCAGAGCAAGGGCAAGGCAACUGAGGGAUGAAAGAGGAGGCAGGAAUGACUCAGCUGCCAACAGCAUUUACUAGGUACCUACUGUAUUUCUAACCUUGCUAGUUACACUGUGGGGAAGGCUGGAGCAAUGGACAGCAAGGCCUCAGCUUCAGGAGGUAAAGAUCUCUUCUGUGAGACACACAGAUGCCGGGAGGAAGCCCAUGAGAACCUCACAUGCCACUCAAGUGCUCUGACCAGCCCUGGCCCUUAUGUGACCCAGAGACUGUGAAGCAGCUGCCAACAUUCCCAUGUGUGGGCACUGUGUGGCAGGGAGCUGAUUCGCCUCACUGAGUCCAGGCACAGAGAGCCUGCUGAAUGUGAAUGAGUGACUGGAGAGAAAUGAGUGGGUGGCUGCAUAGACAGAUGGGUGCUUGGAUGUUGAUGGUAAGUGGAUAGUAUGUGGGAAUUUGCAUGAAUGGAUGAGUAGGUGAAUGGAUGGGUGGCCAGCUGAUUGGAUGGAUGGAUGAAUGGUGUUAUCUGGGUAGACAGAUAUAUAAAUGGGUAAAUGGAUGAGUAGCUAGUGGAUAGGUGGAUGAAUGGAUAGACAGAUGGAUGGUAAUAACUACGCAGAUAGAGGCAUAAGUGGGUGGAUGUAAGGAUAGAUGGAUAAUUAGAUGGAUGAUAGAUGGUGAUGAGUGGUAGAUCUGAUAGAUGAAUGGGUAAGUGGAUAGAUGGUGUGGUGGUUUGAAUAAAAAUGGCCCCCAUAGGCCUAUCGGAAGUAGCACUGUUAGGAGAUGUGGCCUUGUUGGAGUAGGUGUAGCCUUGUUGGGGGAAGUUUGUCACUGGGGGUGGGCCUUGAGUUUUCAGAAGCUCAAGCAAAGCCCAGUGACACUCUCUCUUCCUGCUGCCUGCCGAUCCAGAUGUAGAACUCUUGGCUCCUUCUCCAGUACCAUGUCUGCUUACAUGCCACCAUGCUUCCCACCACAACAAUAAUGAACUAAACCUCUGAAACUGUAAGCUGCCACCUCAAUUAAAUGUUUUCCUUUAUAAAAGUUGUUAUGGUCAUGGUGUCUCUUCACAUCAAUAAAAACCCUAACUAAGGCAGAUGGAUAACAAGAUAGAUGGAUGGGAUGAAUAGGUAGAUGCUUGGAUGGAUGGGUGGAUGGAGGAAUGGAUGGAUCAGUAAGUGAAUGGCCUGAUUAGUCUUGAUUGUCAACUUGACAGGAUUUAGAAUCACCUUGGAGAAUUGUCUCUGGGUGUAUCUAAGAGGGUGUUUCUAGGGAGGAUUAAGAUCGGGGAAGGCCCACACAAAAAGUGAUCCUGGUAUAAAGAGGUCCCAAGAAAAAUGUCCACCUUCCCUUGCUUCUUCCUCCUGAGCAAGUGUGUGCAUCACUGCUGAUGCUGUCCUCUGUUGACUUUGAACUACAGCUGCUUUGGCUUUCCAGCAUGGACUGAACACCAAUGAUUCUCCUGGGAUCUUCCAAGCCUGAUUGGAACAGAUUGAGACUACUGAGGUGACUGACUGGCUUCGUGGACUGAGUGGACACUGGGUUUUCAGCCUCUCCAGCACACAGAUGGCCAUUAUUAGACUACUUGGUCCCUAUCAUGGAAGCAAUACAAUAAAUCUCAUUAAUAAUCUGUA